AAUGCCAAUCAUUCUUACUGAUUUAAUGUUCUAGUGAAGUGUUCAUAUCACAUCGACGUGGGCAGUUUGCUGCCCUCGACAUCAUGAGAAGUCCACUAAACCUUAUCAUUUAGAGAAAGGAAAAGUCAUAACAAGGUUUUCGUAGGUGAAUCUAUGGAAG
rnacentral:rRNA from 1 species